GAUGAAGAACGUAGCGAAAUGCGAUAAGUAAUGUGAAUUGCAGAAUUCAGUGAAUCAUCGAAUCUUUGAACGCACCUUGCGCUCCUUGGUAUUCCGAGGAGCAUGCCUGUUUGAGUGUCAUUAAUAUAUCAACCCUUUUGGUUGAAUGUGGGUUUGCUGGCCGCUUUCGAGGUCAGCUCUCCUUAAAUGCAUUAGCGGACAAUUUUUUGCCAAAUGCUCAUUGGUGUGAUAAUUAUCUACGCUAUUGACAUGAAGCAGGUUCAGCUUCUAAUAGUCCAUUGACUUGGACAAAUUUAUUAAUGUGACCUCAAAUCAGGUAGGAUUACCCGCUGAACUUAAGCAUAUCAAUAAGCGGGAGGA
rnacentral:misc_RNA from 1 species